GAUCCUGGCUCAGAUUGAACGCUGGCGGCAGGCCUAACACAUGCAAGUCGAACGGUAACAGGAAGCAGCUUGCUGCUUUGCUGACGAGUGGCGGACGGGUGAGUAAUGUCUGGGAAACUGCCUGAUGGAGGGGGAUAACUACUGGAAACGGUAGCUAAUACCGCGUAACGUCGCAAGACCAAAGAGGGGACCGUCGGUCCGUCUUCGUCCACUCGGACGUGUGGUCCCGACGAUGGGAGUUAGUCUAGUAGGU
rnacentral:rRNA from 1 species